rnacentral:misc_RNA from 1 species
CACAAAUAUGGCUAGGAUGGAUGAGAAUAGAAGUCCAAAUGAUUGAAGAAUCCAAUAUUAGAUGAGUUAAUGAUAAAUUUGCAAAAUGAAAUAAUUCUAACAUGCUCUAGGAUCAAUUAUACUGUAUUGAGGAAUCAAUGAAUGAAGACUUGAUUUGCAGACAGAGUCACCAAGGACAUACAAGUAUCAUCUGGAUAAAAUUUUUGCAAAUGAGAGUGCAG